rnacentral:lncRNA from 1 species
CUGGAAAGCAUGACAGAAUACUUCCUCAAAGGCAAGUGAUGGUGCAAGAAUUCCACUAGACAUUACUUUAAUGGAAAAAAAAAUCCAAAACCCAGUGCACUGGGAUGUCUGCUUUAAGGGGGAUUUGAAUGCUAAUAUCUGCAGACUGCAUCCUCCUUUGCGUUUUUGGAUAAACCUGUUACCCUGUUGAUUCCAGACCUGGUGAAACUCCAAUUACUUCAUUAGGUAAUGAAGUGCCAUGUUUCAAGCAGCUUUUUGAUUGCUUUCUGGUGUAAUGAUGCAGGACCUGAUCACAGAGACAGCUAACUCUGCUGAUGUGCUGUGUUAAUAUAAUGCCACCUGAUACCUCAUUUGUUUGGUACAUUAGGUAGCAUACCACAUCAACAAAGCAAAGUGCUCGCAUAAUUUCUAAAAAGAUGGAAUGUUUCAGUGGGAAGCAUGAAUUCAGGUAAAAGCUAUAGAUAUGAAGCAGCGGCAAAAUGCCCCUUGGCUUUGUCUCUUUCACUUUAUGAAACUUGUAAGGUAAUUUAAGACCAAGAAGACCUAUUAAAAAACAUGAACUCAUCCACUAUAAUCUCAGCAUGACAGAAUUCUUG